rnacentral:rRNA from 1 species
CAGCAGCCGCGGGAAUACGAAGGGGGCUAGCGUUGCUCGGAAUGACUGGGCGUAAAGGGCGCGUAGGCGGCGGCCAAAGUCAGGCGUGAAAUUCCUGGGCUCAACCUGGGGGCUGCGCUUGAUACUUGGUUGCUUGAGUGGGGAAGAGGGUCGUGGAAUUCCCAGUGUAGAGGUGAAAUUCGUAGAUAUUGGGAAGAACACCGGUGGCGAAGGCGGCGACCUGGUCCUUGACUGACGCUGAGGCGCGAAAGCGUGGGGAGCAAACAGGAUUAGAUACCCCGGUAGUCCCUGUCUCUUAUAC